rnacentral:lncRNA from 1 species
AUGAUUGAAAGACGCAGGUUUCGCCAUCUCAAGGAAUCUGUUUUGGUUAUACAGAAACAAUACAGAGCUUUUCGCCUCUGCCAGAGAGAGCGUGCACAGUUUCUUCAACUGCAAAAGUCAGCUGUUGUGAUACAAACAGCAUUUCGAGCUUAUCAAACAAGACAACAUGCUGUGCGAGCACAAGCUGCCCAGAAAAUUCAGGCCUGGUUCCGAGGACGCAUAGCUAGACGAAACUACAUUUUAAAACAAGCUGCUAUUGCAACCAUUAGUCGGUGUAUUCAAGCAAGACGCCAACGUUCAAGAUUUCUAGCAGUCCAGCACAGUGUCCGAGUCAUUCAGCAGAGAUGGAGGGAAACCCUAAUCGCCAGAAAACAGCAUGCUGACUUCCUGAGGUUUAGAAAGUCUGUUCUACACAUCCAGGCGUUGUGGAGAGGUCAAAGAGUGAGAGAUUCCAUUCAAAAGGUACUCAUUCUUUUUGUGGGAAUCAAUAUUUAUUAUAAAGGAAUUGCUAAUAUUAUUCUGUCUUUAAGCAGCAGUCGUGUUUAACUUAUACUGACACCUAGCUGUGUGGAAGCAGCAUUACACUAAAGCAAAGUUUACUAUUGCUGUUGUAGAAAUGUGCUGUCAACUAACAUUAGCAUAUUCCAGGGAUCCUCAAAUCUGGACCUCGAGAUCCACUUUCCUGCAGAGUUUAGCUCUAACCCUGAUCAAACACACCUGAGCAUGCUAAUCAGUGUCUUUGGGAUCAUUAGAAAAUCACAGGUAGGUGAAGUUGAUCAGGGUUGGAGCUAAACUCUGCAGCGCAUUGGACCUCCAGGGUAAGAUUUGAGGAACCCUGGCAUAUUCCAUGAGUGAAAGUUUUGAAUAAUAAUAGGAAAUUACUGAGAUAUAGUUAGUGAUAUCUGACUGGUUAAGUGAUCGUGACGUGACACUUUUUUUAUAAGAAAAAAAAAAAAGAUUGAGUGCACUUUUUAAAUGUUGGUGAACUUUGCUUUUUUUUUUUUUAUUGCAAAAUAGACUUUGUGCAGUGAUGACAUUGCUCUC